UACGGCCAUAUCACGUUGAAACACCGGUUCACGAACGAUCACUGAAGUUCAGCAACGUCGUGUUUGGUUAGUACUUAGAUGGGUAACCACGUUG